GCGGGGCGGGGCGCCGGCGGCGACGGUGUACUCCAGCGCGGGCGUGGCGAGCUUGCCGUGCGCGGGGAUCGUCUCCUUGGUCUCGCA
rnacentral:tRNA from 1 species